AUGAAUUUGUUUGUGUCUGUAUUCAGAAUGUCAUCAGAGGAUAAGAGUCUGGAGCCCUCUGAGCAAGGACCAUCUCCUCCCCUGAGCAGUGCUGGGGCCACGCCCUCAGGGAGCCCGGCCCCCUCAGAAAGACGCCCACGGGGCCGGCCACGCAAGGAUGCUUCCUCUGGUACACCCAAGUCCAAAACAAAGUCUCGUAAUCGAUGUCGUGCACAGGCCGAUGAUGAGGACAGCAUGGAUGCCAUUGAUGUCACACCAACUCCAGACAUUGACAUCGCAUUGGAGAUGGAUGUGGUGGAGCCAGAAACGGAUGAUGAUUUCCCUGAGCCACUGGAUCUCAGCCCCAGAGAUGAGAGGCCUCUGUCCCUGCUCUUCCAGCGCUCUGUGUCAGAAGACUCUGCUGGCUCCUCUGCCUCCACCACCAGAAAAGCCAAAACUAGGUUGGUCUCAAACACACACACACACACACACACACACACACACACACACACACACACACACUCUUUGCUUACUCAAAGCUGCCAGUAUGUGUACAUUUAA
ensembl:lncRNA